CCUACGGGAGGCAGCAGUGGGGAAUUUUGGACAAUGGGCGCAAGCCUGAUCCAGCCAUGCCGCGUGUGGGAAGAAGGCCUUCGGGUUGUAAACCACUUUUGUCAGGGAAGAAACGGCUUUUUCUAAUACAGAGAGCUAAUGACGGUACCUGAAGAAUAAGCACCGGCUAACUACGUGCCAGCAGCCGCGGUAAUACGUAGGGUGCAAGCGUUAAUCGGAAUUACUGGGCGUAAAGCGUGCGCAGGCGGCUUUGCAAGACAGAUGUGAAAUCCCCGGGCUCAACCUGGGAACUGCAUUUGUGACUGCAUGGCUAGAGUACGGUAGAGGGGGAUGGAAUUCCGCGUGUAGCAGUGAAAUGCGUAGAUAUGCGGAGGAACACCGAUGGCGAAGGCAAUCCCCUGGACCUGUACUGACGCUCAUGCACGAAAGCGUGGGGAGCAAACAGGAUUAGAUACCCUGGUAGUCCACGCCCUAAACGAUGUCAACUGGUUGUUGGACGGCUUGCUGUUCAGUAACGAAGCUAACGCGUGAAGUUGACCGCCUGGGGAGUACGGCCGCAAGGUUGAAACGUCGAAAGGAAUUGACGG
rnacentral:rRNA from 1 species